rnacentral:misc_RNA from 1 species
UUGUGGAGGAGGACGCCGAAGGUGGGGCUAAUGACUGGGGUGAAGUCGUAACAAGGUAGCCGUACCGGAAGGUGCGGCUGGAUCACCUCCUAACAGGGAGACAACAAAAUGUUAAAUAUUAAUUUUGUCACCUUAGGUCGAUCGGUAUCUCACAUUCUUAAUUUAUUAAGGAUUUUAUUUCCUAAGUUUUUUCUAGGUCACACCCAUUACUUUUCCUGGGCCAUUAGCUCAGGUGGUUAGAGCGCACCCCUGAUAAGGGUGAGGUCCCUGGUUCAAGUCCAGGAUGGCCCAUAUCUCUAUGUUGGGGGUAUAGCUCAGUUGGUAGAGCGCCUGCUUUGCAAGCAGGAUGUCAGCGGUUCGAGUCCGCUUACCUCCACUGAUUACCACCUCUUCCAUAAUUUACAGAAGGGAAUUGUUUUGAGAUGUGAUCAAAUUCUGAACGAAUCUAGCUUCCUAAUCAAACUUAUUAAGAUGCUGGACUCAUUGAAUUAAUUUCAUUGUUUUCAGAGAACCUUGACAACUGCAUAGAUUAUUUUUAAAGACAAUAAGCAUCUUUAAUGAUGCAGAUUUAUUAUUUUUGCUAAUGCAUUAAUAACAAUUCUAUUAAGCUGAUGCUUCAAUUUUGAAGUUAUUGGUCAAGCUACAA